rnacentral:rRNA from 2 species
CGUGCUAUACAUGCAAGUCGAGCGAACAGAUGAGAAGCUUGCUUCUCUGAUGUUAGCGGCGGACGGGUGAGUAACACGUGGGUAACCUACCUAUAAGACUGGGAUAACUCCGGGAAACCGGGGCUAAUACCGGAUAAUAUUUUGAACCGCAUGGUUCAAUAGUGAAAGACGGUUUCGGCUGUCACUUAUAGAUGGACCCGCGCCGUAUUAGCUAGUUGGUAAGGUAACGGCUUACCAAGGCGACGAUACGUAGCCGACCUGAGAGGGUGAUCGGCCACACUGGAACUGAGACACGGUCCAGACUCCUACGGGAGGCAGCAGUAGGGAAUCUUCCGCAAUGGGCGAAAGCCUGACGGAGCAACGCCGCGUGAGUGAUGAAGGUCUUCGGAUCGUAAAACUCUGUUGUUAGGGAAGAACAAAUUUGUUAGUAACUGAACAAGUCUUGACGGUACCUAACCAGAAAGCCACGGCUAACUACGUGCCAGCAGCCGCGGUAAUACGUAGGUGGCAAGCGUUAUCCGGAAUUAUUGGGCGUAAAGCGCGCGUAGGCGGUUUCUUAAGUCUGAUGUGAAAGCCCACGGCUCAACCGUGGAGGGUCAUUGGAAACUGGGAAACUUGAGUGCAGAAGAGGAGAGUGGAAUUCCAUGUGUAGCGGUGAAAUGCGCAGAGAUAUGGAGGAACACCAGUGGCGAAGGCGGCUCUCUGGUCUGUAACUGACGCUGAUGUGCGAAAGCGUGGGGAUCAAACAGGAUUAGAUACCCUGGUAGUCCACGCCGUAAACGAUGAGUGCUAAGUGUUAGGGGGUUUCCGCCCCUUAGUGCUGCAGCUAACGCAUUAAGCACUCCGCCUGGGGAGUACGACCGCAAGGUUGAAACUCAAAGGAAUUGACGGGGACCCGCACAAGCGGUGGAGCAUGUGGUUUAAUUCGAAGCAACGCGAAGAACCUUACCAAAUCUUGACAUCCUUUGACCGCUCUAGAGAUAGAGUCUUCCCCUUCGGGGGACAAAGUGACAGGUGGUGCAUGGUUGUCGUCAGCUCGUGUCGUGAGAUGUUGGGUUAAGUCCCGCAACGAGCGCAACCCUUAAGCUUAGUUGCCAUCAUUAAGUUGGGCACUCUAGGUUGACUGCCGGUGACAAACCGGAGGAAGGUGGGGAUGACGUCAAAUCAUCAUGCCCCUUAUGAUUUGGGCUACACACGUGCUACAAUGGAUAAUACAAAGGGCAGCGAAUCCGCGAGGCCAAGCAAAUCCCAUAAAAUUAUUCUCAGUUCGGAUUGUAGUCUGCAACUCGACUACAUGAAGCUGGAAUCGCUAGUAAUCGUAGAUCAGCAUGCUACGGUGAAUACGUUCCCGGGUCUUGUACACACCGCCCGUCACACCACGAGAGUUUGUAACACCCGAAGCCGGUGGAGUAACCUUUUAGGAGCUAGCCG